AACAAAGGCAGGAAAACAUCCCAUUCACUCAGCGAGGCCGCGGGGCUGCUCCCAGCAGGGCUUCCUGAGGGAUUUUUAGGGCGGCAGAGAAGGGAGCGGCCGUGCCAGGCGGGAGCUGAGCUGCGGGCACAGGGGGGGCUGCUCGAGGCUGACAGGAGACCCCUCGGCCUGUUCACACUCAGCCAGGCCAGGCCAGGCUUUUUUUGACCCGAAGUCGGCAGAGAAGCUGUUAGUGGGGAGCCUGAGCGGGACGGAGCGGAUGCAUUCCUGACUCCUGCCCUCGGGGAGCAUAGCAAGGGAAUGAGGCACAGACACAGGACUGACUCACCUCCCUCCUGUGCUGCCCCGGAGAGCAGCGGCUGGGCUGGAUGCAGAUCAAAAGGUCCCAGCUGUUAAAGCCAUGAUUGCAGGAUUUCCCAGACUCGCUGGAAAAGCACGUAUGCCAUUGUGUCCCACGGCUGGAACAGGAAAACGCCUGAAAAUCCGAGCCACAGGCUCCCAACACAAACCGUCUCCUCGCCGCCGACGCUCUCCAACCUCAUUUUUCUUUCAACUCUUCCUAAAUGGCUUUGGAGUUUUGCAGGGCCGGCUUUCGGCUCCCCCCAGAACUGCUCCUAUCCCACGCUGGGGGAACUUUUCGGCCUCGUGUAUCCCAAAGCCAUCCACGUGGCCGCUCACGUGCCACGGCCUCGGGAUACUCGGAGCCACUGGCCUCUGUCCCCUGGUGUCACCUGGGUCCCGACUCCAGCCCACAGCCAGCCAAGUGUGAAGCAGAAACCGGGGCCAGUUGUGCUCCAGCCACCCCAGCCUGGAUUCCCCAGCCCUCCACACAAAUCCAGCCCCACAAAACCACGGAGUCUGUGGCUUUGUCGGCCCGCACGGAACACGGCGUGGCACCGAAACGCCUCUGCCGGCUCAGGAGUGGCCAGGACAGCUCCCAGCACGGAGCCAGAGCCUCUCCCUGCCCCGGGGAGGUUCCCAACGAAGCCAUUUAAUAAACUGCAGGACAAGA